CUCAGCUUUUCAGUCUGGGUUUGAGCUGGAACCUGCUGCAAGCGUUUGACGGCAUUCACGUGCUUUUGAAACUUUCUAUGAAAAGACUUGGAUCUAAUGUCCCUGAAAACAAAGAAAGAACAGUGCAAUUUGAACACAGUAGCCUCUGCCCCAUGCCUGAGGGAGACAGCACAGCUUUGGGAACUAUGAUUGAGUGACAGCCGUACCUAUGAAGUUGGGAAUGUGACUAGUCAAUAAUGCCUGUGAGGACCAACUGGAAGAGAAGAAAUCAUUUAUUCUUUACCAUCAAUAUGUGACUGUGUCUUGAAAUGAAUAUCCUGGAAUCUGAUUCAGACUUGAUUUUGGAAACCCCUGCCCCUCCCCCCCCCCUCCUCUGGAGCCUUAGGCAUGUGGUCAAAGAAUAUGAGUAAGGAACAGGGAACCAAGUCCCCUAAUUUAUCUUUAAUUUCUGUUAUUUUCUUACUGAACUCCCCUUCUCCUAUAUUAACUCUCCCUUCCAUGGAAUAGGUGAUGUGAAAUAGGUCCUACAUCCAUGUUAAAAGUUAAAAAGAUAAUGUUAGUAUUUUAAACAAAAUAAAAGAACAGCAAUAGAAGAGAUAAUAGCAUUUCACUUCACGACAGAAGAGAUAAUAACACUUUAGUGCUUUAGGCCUGCCUAAUUAGUGGUGCUUCUCCUGAGACAUUAAUUUUGGUGUCAGUGGAGGUUAAGGGAAAGGAGGUUGCAGCUAAAGUGCCAGUGAUAUUCUGAGGGUUCUGGACACUGAAACCUCAAGUUUAUAUAUACCGAGGGCUGGUGGCCAAUCUCACCAACGUGUAAACUGAUAAACAGAGAGAUCUGAUUGCAAAUAAAAUGCAUUGCAUAUUUGGCUUAAUGACCAUACCCUAGAAUGAGCGACUAAGAAUAGAGAGAAUCCCGGUCGCCGCAGCCCAAGACGGACGCGGACCCAUCUAGCAGGAAACAGCGGCGCGCCGGACUCUCCUCCGCGACCGCGUGCGGACUACUUGUCCCGGCCAACUACCACAACUGCACGAAUCGACACGGCCCAGAGACGUACCUGGCGCACAAAAGUUCUCAUGCUCCGUCGUGCCACGGGAUCUGCGCACCUUCGCCCACAUCUUGGCGGCUGUUGAAUGCUCCUACAGCCCCUUCCCCGGCCAUAGGCGUGGUCCCCAGACACCUCAGGGAUCACUUCUGCCUGGCGCACUGCCUUCUGGGGGAAGCCCCAGGCCGGAAGUCUGACUAAGAGGCCCACACUCGCCUGCAGGUCCUCUUGCCCCCUCCGACACCUUCAGCCAAUUGCUGAAGUUGCAACACCUGGGCCUGGCCGGUAGCAGCCCCAGUCCUGCCAACCCGUCUCCCGCCACUCCUCGGCCCACAGCAUCUUCCCAGAGCCCCAAGCUGUUGCUGUCCUCGCUGACGUCCUCUUUCCACUCGGACAAAGGCAUGUAGAGCCCCCACCCCACCCCACCCCCCCGGCCAAGGGAACCACAGGUACUGCCAUCUGUGCAACAUCGAGUUCGUCAAGUUCACAGGUACUUCUGUGUGUUCACCUUCAUCGUCCCCAAGAAGUGUUGCUGUUCCUCGAAGGCCAGUGAAUAUGUGAAGUGUGUCACCCAACACAGAAUGGACUGGGGGCCACUUUCCAUGCACCCCCCCCCCCAACUUCUCUAUCCAGGAACAAAGGCCAGCUUUCCCACCUGCCGUGCUCUCCAUUGCCACCCCCGCCUGGACCCUUGGCACUUAAAGUUCAGUUUGAUGAGCACAGCCUCAAUAGCCUGGAGUUGAAGGAGCACCUAAAUUCCAUUAGAAUUACUUCGGAGAGUCUCCUCUGUUUAUCUGAAACAUUCAUCGUAUUUAUUUAUUUUUUAUUUUUGGAGAGAGAGUGUGUGAGUCUGGCAGAGGGAAAGCGAGAUGGAAUCUUAAGCAGGCUCCAUGCUUAGCCCAGAGCCCAGAGAUCAUAACCUGAGCUGCAAUGGGUUCAUUAAAAUAACACUUUCCUUAAGUAAUAAGAAUAAUAAAGAGUUCCAGAAUGUAGAUAUCUAUGCACUUUGAUAUUCUUUUGGUAAAAAAGAAAUGUACCCUUGGAUGGGAAAGUUUCCAAGGAAGGCUUUUCACCAAAAAGAUCAGACUGUGGAAAGAACCACAGACUUGUGUGAGGCAGGAAGAGCAAGAAGAAAAGAGAAGGAAAGCAUUUUAAACGUUACUGAUACUUCAUAGCAAUAAGUUAUUUUUAUAUAGUGUAGAUCAGAAUAUUCUUUACAGUAACAAAAAUAUUUUGUGUACUUUUAAAAGGCUUCAUGCAUACACUGGUAAAAAAACAAAAGAGAAAAAAAUGCUGUCGUUUUGAGGAAUUAUGAUGAUGAUUGUUAAUAUUUAUGUGCCAAAGCAAUAACAACAAAUGUUAUAUGGAAGAUAACAUUGAAUUGUAAAAAUUCUAUGAAAUAUUAUUGUGCUUUUCAUAUGGACAAGUAAACCUAGGCUUAAAUGAUUAAAUCAUAUGUCUAAAGUCCUGUAGCUGAAAUGUGAUACAUGCAAAAUGCAAAACCAAAUUAGUCUUGUUUUAGAGUCUGUGAUCUUAACCACUCUGUUUUGUGAUACUUAGAGGAAAACUUUUCCCAAUUUCUGGAGUUAAAGAAGUGGAAAAUUAUCCAGACUAGUGGCAAUGCAAACCAUCUGAGAAGGGAGAGUCAGGGACAGGGAGUGUGGCUUUCUGAGAGAAAGCAUUUCAUCACAGCUGGUAUUCUUGGGAACCCUAGUAGAGACUCUGUGAAAAAGAUUUAACAUGAAAAAGAUUUUGUUGAUACUUCUGUGGAGGGUUGAUUAGAAAAAGAAAGAUAAGUCAGAAGACUAUUUUAAUAAUUAAAAUGAAAUAAAGACGUGUGGACUUCAUUUAUGGUUGUCAAGAUUUGUGGAAGUUGGUAAAGGAGAAGAAGUUACAGACAACUCUAAAUUUUCGGACUAGUGGACUAAAGAAUUAUGGUGCCAUUGGGAGCAAUAGGAAAAUUCAGAAGUGUCCAUUAUUUGAUGACAGAAAAAAAAAUAAUUCACAUUUUACUGGUGAUAAAAUCAAAUUGUAAGCAAAGAUGUAAGAUAGAUCUUUUCUUAUUCAACUGCAUUGUCUGCCUGUUCUAGACAGAUCUUCUGGGUAUGUAGCUGAGAAUGUCAACAUCAAAUUUAUAUUUUAUGGUCUUUGUCUUGUUCUUUGGGGAUUGUGUCUUCUCAUUUCUUAUGCUUAUUUCAAUAGCUGGAUACUACACUGUUAUGCCCUGAUAUUCUGUCUUGUUUCCCACAUGUAUCCAAGGUCAUGGAAACCUGUAACUUAACCCAGUGAUUACAGUUUCUAACUAGCAGUAGUUCUUUGAUGCUUUAUAUAUACUUGGAUCUUUGCUUAUUAACAGAUAUGCCUAAUUCUCAUGGGGCCAUAUUUUGCCUAUCACCCAAUAUAUCACCUUGAUAACAUUUCCUAGCUAAACUUGAUUCCAAAGAAAUAUCAUCAUAAGUAUCUAACUAGUUUCCAGAGACUAACAAUUUCCAGUAGGGCUCAUUCUACUGGGCUAUAGUCCAAAUACAUAUUUUCUUUGGUUCCCCCGGAUAUGCAGAAUUCCUUAAUUUUAUUUAAUAUAGUGGAUGAAAUGUAUUACUAUAAAUCUAUACACGAAUAACCAGUAUACCAUCAUGUUUCCUUUCUGUUACUUUUUUUUUUUAAUGUUUAUUUAUUUUUGAGAGAGAGACAGUACAAGCGGGAGAAGAGCAGAGAGAGGUAGAUACAAAAUCUGAAGCAGAUUUCAGGCUCUGAGCUGUCAGCACAGAGCUAGACCAUGAUGCCUCUUGAGGGGCUUGAACUCACAAACUGUGAGAUCAUGACCUGAGCUGAAGUCGGAUGCUUAACCAACUGAGCCACCCAGGCACCUCUUCUUUCUCUUACUUUUUAAACAUGGGUUCAGAAAAAAGGGAAAGUCACCAAUAACUUCAACAUUUUUCUUUCUAAUUUACUCAUGAAAGUCAUUCUUAUGUUUGACUUGGUCAAAUUCAUCCCCCAUAAGUAAUCACUACUGAAUUUGCUAAAUAUGCUUUUCUGACUUCCAUAUGUUUAUACAUGUGCACAUAUGCACUUUGAUACAUUUAUUAUAUUCAUUUAUUAGUCUCUUUGUUUACAAAUUGGAAUCAUGCUGCAGACAUUGGUUUGGGGUUUUUUUUAACCACUUAAUAAACUAUAACGUGUAGCUUUAAAGGUCAAUACAUCAUACUAUUUAGUAGUUUUAUUAAACUUUGAAUGGAGGUACUAUGAUCUUUUUUCUCAUUUUAUUGUUUACUGACACUGAAACUGUAAGUAAUGUUUGCAACAAGUAUUGCUCUGCAUGAGGGUAUAGGGGUGUGUGUUUUUGUAUAUGUGUGCUCUCAGGCUAGUAUAAGUGAAUAAUAGACUCUGAGAAGUUGAAUUAUUGGGGCAAGGAAUAGGCAAAUUUUAAAAUUAUAUACAUAUUCCCAGAUUUCUCUUCAAAACCCAUAUCUACUCAAAUAUUUAUGAGUGACCUCUUUAAUACAUCUUUCCCACCACUGAAUGUUAUCCAUUUUUUAAUGUAAUUAAGUAGCUAUGUUUUAAAAGUUUAAUUCUGAGGGCAUCUGACUGGCUCAGUCUGUUAAGUGUCUGACUCUUGAUUUUGGCUCAGGUCAUGAAUUCAUAGUUCUGAGAUUGAGCCCCUUAUCAGGCUCCUCCCUGGGUGUGGAACCUGCUUAAGAUUCAACCUCUCUCCCUCUCGCUUUGCCCCUCCUCUGCCUACAAACCAUGCUUGUGGUUUCUCUGUAUCAAAAAAAAAAAAAAAAAAAAAAAAAAAAAGCUUAUGUUAAAUUAAUGAAGGUGAGGUUCUUUUUGUGUUUACUAUUUACAUUUCUUUUAACAUUAAUUUGCAACUUCAUUUCCUUUAUUCAUUUUUAGUAAAGGAAUUUUGCUGAAUUCUUUUCAAAAUUAUUUACUAAGUUUUAUUUCACAGAUUUUACUAAAUAUUUCAUGUGUUAUUAUUUAUUAAUAUGUUACUGACAUCUUUGCUUUGGUGUAAUUUGUUAAGAUUAAUUAAAUUUAUUCUUCUGUUUGAAUAUAUUUUAAACUUUAUGAUUUAAACAAUUGUUAUUCGAAUGAUUAAAAAUGUAUUAAAACAGC